rnacentral:sRNA from 1 species
GAGAAGACACAAGAGGGGUUCCAAGUGGCUUAACUAGUAACAUGAUCAUUAUUUGACACCCUUCCCUUGAUGGGGAGGCCCCAAGGCAUUUUGAUAGUUUUCUUAGCUGUGUUCUUUCAGGCUAUCAUGGCAGAAGGAAAACAGCAUGCUCUAUGUGUUGGAGUCAUGAAGAUGUCUGCAGAAGACAUUGAGAAAGUCAACAAAGGAAUUGGCAUUGAAAAUAUCCAUUAUUUAAAUGAUGGGCUGUGGCAUAUGAAGACAUAUAAAUGAGCCUCAGAAGGAAUGCACUUGGGCUAAAUAUGGAUAUUGUGCUGUAUCUGUGUUUGUGUCUGUGUGUGACAGCAUGAAGAUAAUGCCUGUGGUUAUGCUGAAUAAAUUCACCAGAUGCUAAAAU